rnacentral:rRNA from 1 species
CUCGAAGGACGAACGCUGGCGGCGUGCUUAACACAUGCAAGUCGAACGAAGCACUCUACUUGAUUUCCUUCGGGAAUGAUUGUUUUGUGACUGAGUGGCGGACGGGUGAGUAACGCGUGGGUAACCUGCCUCAUACAGGGGGAUAACAGUUGGAAACGACUGCUAAUACCGCAUAAGCCCACGACCUCGCAUGAGGUUGUGAGAAAAACUCCGGUGGUAUGAGAUGGACCCGCGUCUGAUUAGCUAGUUGGUAAGGUAACGGCUUACCAAGGCGACGAUCAGUAGCCGGCCUGAGAGGGUGAUCGGCCACAUUGGGACUGAGACACGGCCCAAACUCCUACGGGAGGCAGCAGUGGGGAAUAUUGCACAAUGGGGGAAACCCUGAUGCAGCAACGCCGCGUGAAGGAUGACGUAUUUCGGUAUGUAAACUUCUAUCAGCAAGGAAGAUGAUGACGGUACUUGACUAAGAAGCCCCGGCUAACUACGUG